GGACGAACGCUGGCGGCGUGCUUAACACAUGCAAGUCGAACGGAAAGGCCCUGCUUUGGUGGGGUGCUCGAGUGGCGAACGGGUGAGUAACACGUGAGUAACCUGCCCUUGACUUUGGGAUAACUUCAGGAAACUGGGGCUAAUACCGGAUAGGAGCUCCUGCUGCAUGGUGGGGGUUGGAAAGUUUCGGCGGUUGGGGAUGGACUCGCGGCUUAUCAGCUUGUUGGUGGGGUAGUGGCUUACCAAGGCUUUGACGGGUAGCCGGCCUGAGAGGGUGACGGGCCACAUUGGGACAGAGAUGCAGCCAAGACUCCUACGGGAGGCAGCAGUGGGGCAUAGUGCACAAUGGGCGGAGGCAUGAUGCAGCAACGCAGCGUGCGGGAUGACGGCCUUCGGGUUGUAAACCGCUUUCGCCUGUGACGAAGCGUGAGUGACGGUAAUGGGUAAAGAGGCACCGGGUAACUACGUG
rnacentral:rRNA from 1 species